rnacentral:misc_RNA from 1 species
UUCUGCGAGGACCCCCCGUC